rnacentral:rRNA from 1 species
CCCUUAGAUGAUUUGGGCUGCACGCGCGCUACACUGACCCUAACAAUGAGCAACUGUCUGGCCUGAGAUGGCUGGGUAGCCUUUUCAACCCAUGUCAUGAUUGGGCUAGAUUUUUGUAAGUCUUGAUCUCUAACGAGGAAUCCCUAGUAUGCGUGAAUCAUCAAUCCAUGCAGAUUAUGUCCCUGCCCUUUGUACACACCGCCCGUCGCUCCUACUGAUUGGGUGAUCCGGUGAGCUGUUCGGCCAUAGCAAUGUUUCUCGAGCAGGGCAAUGAAUGUUUCGCAAACCUUGCCACUUAGAGGAAGGAGAAGUCGUAACA